CAGCCUCACACCCAAGUCCCAUAGAAAAGAUUUGCUGGACAACAACACAGUUUAAUAUACCACAGAACGACAUGGCUGGGAGUAUUGCAAGGCAAUAGGACGAUUCCCAGCCUUCAAGAUAAUGCAGAAAAGAUCCCGAGGACUAGAGAAAGUCAUACAGAAUCCUAUUUCGACUGAAAGGACUGUAUUUUAGAAAAAUCCCUCUGUGCAAAUUCAAGCCCCAAUCAAAGCUUAUCUCCUUCUUUAAAAAGCAAACCAAACCCUUAUCGUCGUCUUGGGAAAUCUUUGCAGAGAGGUCUAGGAAAGAAGGGAAUCCGGACAUAAAGGAAAUACUAUCGACGACGAUUCUGGAGAGCCUGGUUCGAGUCUCCUUUGCCGCUGCCCUGAAACCCAUUGGAAUCACACUGUCUCAGCCUCAGAAAAUCCUUGGUGUUUUCAAGACAGCUCUAAGGUAUGGAGAACAAUACCUUAGUUGAAUCAUUAAUCAUCAUGGAGGCAGCAGCUAAAGGAACCAGAAGAAGCCAAGGGUGCAUCUACAUUGUAGAAUGAAUGGAGUUAGUUGGGCGAGGCAUCAGUACUCUUUUGGCAGAAACAGCUACAGCUCCCAUGAUUCCAUAGCACUGAACCAUGGCAGUUAAAGUGGUGUAAAACUGGUCGGGCUGUGGCGCAGGCUGGUUAGCAGACAGCUACAACAAAUCACUCUGACCAAGAGGUCAUGAGUUCGAGGCCAGUCAGUGCCUGUGUUUGUCUCAGUCUCUGUUCUAUGUUAUAUGGCAUUGAAUGUUUGCCUUAUAUGUGUGCAAUGUGAUCUGCCCUGAAUCCCCUUCGGGCUGAGAAGGGCGGAAUAUAAAUACUGUAAAUAAAUAAACAAAGUGAUAUACAGUAGAGUCUCACUUAUCCAACAUAAACGGGUCAGCAGAACGUUGGAUAAGCGAAUAUGUUGGAUAAUAAGGAGAGAUUAAGGAAAAGCCUAUUAAACAUCAAAUUAGGUUAUGAUUUUACAAAUUAAGCACCAAAACAUCAUGUUAUACAACAAAUUGGACAGAAAAAGUAGUUCAAUAUGCAGUAAUGCUAUGUAGUAAUUACUAUAUUUAUGAAUUUAGCACCAAAAUAUCACAAUAUAUUGAAAACAUUGACUACAAAAAUGCGUUGGAUAAUCCAGAACGUUGGAUAAGCGAGUCUUGGAUAAGUGAGACUCUACUGUAUCACUGAAUACUGCAAUAUUCACAGGACUGGUUUCUGUGGAUUCAUUUACUGGUGUCCAAUAAAAUAUGUUCUGUUUAGGCAUUUUCUAGGUCCUUAA